UCGGAAUUCUAAUAAUAGCGGAUAUCCCCGGUCACGUGGUAGUAUUCCCCAAGAAAAUGACGUAAUUUCCGUAGAUAUCUAACAUGGCGUCUUACAGGCGUGAUACGCUCGGUCGAUUCAAAAAAGUGUAAAAAGAUGCAGAAAACCCUAGUAUUGCGACUUAAUUAUAGAACAUAACUAUAGUGCAGGUAACCAGUAUUACGGGUCAACCAAACCAGCUCUACAAAACAUCAACUCUUCCUAAAUCGGUUGAUAAUGAGGGUUGGAAAAAGGGAAGAAGAAUCGUUGAGACUUGAGUUUGGCGUAUUACGGUCAACCCUAAGAUUUUGUAAAAAAUGUAGACUUGGACCAGAAGGCUACCAUUAACUUUUGACAACAUGUUAGGUGAAUUUAAACAGGGUGUGUCUGGAUAUUUGUAUGUGAAAUGUCGAAACACAGAAAUUAUGCGGUCAUGUGAAUUGUGUUCCCUAUGGAAAAACACAGACUCUAGUAGUAGUAGAUUGAAGACCUGGGAAAGUUGGAAUGCCAUGUUUCGUUGUCAACACAAAAUUAGGACCAGGUAAGCGAUUAAUGUAUUGCAUCAUACUUUAGAUUAACAACAGAUUAUAUAUAGUUUUAUCAAGGUAUGCUUCACUUUACUUCAUGGCAUGUUCGAUGAAUAAAUACGAGCGUGUCAGAUUCCUGGCACGAUUAUUGGUGGACUUUCCCUACGGGGUUAUCUUCAGCGUUCAUGUCAUGUCAUAGUAUAUAAACGGGUACGCUGAAGACCUUAAGCUAACCAAAAUGAAUAUACAUUUAUCAGUGUUUAUCUACUUGUCUUCCAAUGAUGUAAAAUUAUGCGGACCAAAUUUAUGUUUCAGAUUUAUAAAUAAUUAAUUUAUUGUACAGAAUACAUGUAUCUUGUUUGUGUUGAGCUGUAAAACACUACUCCUUAUUGUGAAGGAAGUGGCUAGCCGUACGGGCCCGUACGGCUAGCCAAAAGUUCUAGCCGUACGUGACUCACGUACUCCAUUUAAUUUUGAAAAGUGCCGUACGGCUAGCCAAUACAGUGUGUCCUGGCUAGUCGUACAUGACUCACGUACGGCUAGAACUUUUGGCUAGCCGUACGGGCCUGUACAGCUAGCCACUUCCUAUUGUGAAUUUUUUUAUAAACUUCCCUCUGAACUGUUUUAAUUUCCCCAAAGUCACUGAGAAAUUUGAAAAACAAAUGAUAAAACGUUGCUAAAUUAAAUCUUGCAACAAUGCAAUUUUUAUUAAGACAUUACAGAAUCCUACAUGUACAUUAUAUAAAAGACACAGUUUACACUAGGCUGCCAAUACCCACAGUCACAGUAAUAUUCAACAUACAAUGUACAUGAGGCAGCUAAAAAUAGCUCUAUAUAAAUUUAUGCAAUGUGUUAUUAUCACGGUUAUGUAAAUUACAAUCCAUGUGAAGUUUUUUUUGACAAAAUAUUUGUAUACUUAAAUGAAAUAAUUUGUUUCUUUUCAUUUUCUUACAGCAAUGAUUGAUAGUGUAGGUGGGCCGGUGAGGGGAGGGUCAACAAUUUGUUGUCAACACUCAAUAUACCAACAAUUGGAAAUAAAAACAUGAAAAGAAAUGGAGAGACAUGUUGGAAAUAUCAUUGAGACAGUGGCUUCUAUCUGUCUAUGUCGACAGAAUCUGCUGCGAAAGAACAAGGAAAUUGAGGAUGUGCAUCAUGAAGAAUCAAUGGUAUCAGAACACAACAUCAUGGAAGAUCUUAUUGACAAGAUCUUGGAGGAUGUCCUUUGCCAGAUGCCUCGCCAGCACUAAAGUCUAUUCUUCAGUCAGAUGCUACAGUUACAAAUGACAGUGAAUGGUCAGAUUUAUUACAAUU